rnacentral:rRNA from 1 species
UACAGAGGUCUCAAGCGUUGUUCGGAUUCAUUGGGCGUAAAGGGUGCGUAGGCGGCGCGGUAAGUCGGGUGUGAAAUCUUGGAGCUUAACUUCGAAACUGCAUUCGAUACUGCCGUGCUUGAGGACUGGAGAGGAGACUGGAAUUUACGGUGUAGCGGUGAAAUGCGUAGAUAUCGUAAGGAAGACCAGUGGCGAAGGCGGGUCUCUGGACAGUUCCUGACGCUGAGGCACGAAGGCCAGGGGAGCAAACGGG